rnacentral:rRNA from 1 species
AACGAACGCUGGCGGCAUGCCUAACACAUGCAAGUCGAACGAGACCUUCGGGUCUAGUGGCGCACGGGUGCGUAACGCGUGGGAACCUGCCCUUAGGUUCGGAAUAACUCCCCGAAAGGUGUGCUAAUACCGGAUAAUGUCUUCGGACCAAAGAUUUAUCGCCUUUGGAUGGGCCCGCGUUGGAUUAGCUAGUUGGUAGGGUAAAAGCCUACCAAGGCGACGAUGCAUAGCUGGUCUGAGAGGAUGAUAAGCCACACUGGGACUGAGACACGGCCCAGACUCCUACGGGAGGCAGCAGUGGGGAAUAUUGGACAAUGGGCGAAAGCCUGAUCCGGCAAUGCCGCGUGAGUGAUGAAGGCCUUAGGGUUGUAAAGCUCUUUUACCCGGGAUGAUAAUGACAGUACCGGGAGAAUAAGCUCCGGCUAACUCCGUG